AGCCAUCUGAAUCUGUCGGGAUUUCGUCAGACGCCAUCCCGCCAAAAUUGAUGAGACUCUCAAGAUAAGUGAAGCG
rfam:Schistosoma rodhaini strain Burundi genome assembly, scaffold: SROB_scaffold0005315